rnacentral:tRNA from 1 species
GCGGGUGUGGCGGAACUGGCAGACGCACCUGGUUUAGGUCCAGGCGCCGCAAGGCGUGGGGGUUCGAAUCCCUUCACCCGCACCA